UACAGAGGGUGCGAGCGUUGUCCGGAAUCACUGGGCGUAAAGGGCGCGUAGGUGGCGUCGCAAAUCGAUGGUGAAAGCUCGGCGCUCAACGCCGAGUCGGCCCUUGAUACUGCGAGGCUGGAGCACUGUAGAGGCUAAUGGAAUUCCGGGUGUAGCGGUGGAAUGCGUAGAGAUCCGGAAGAACACCGGUGGCGAAGGCGGUUAGCU
rnacentral:rRNA from 1 species